rnacentral:rRNA from 1 species
UGCCAGACUCCUACGGGAGGCAGCAGUGGGGAAUAUUGGGCAAUGGGCGCAAGCCUGACCCAGCAACGCCGCGUGAAGGAAGAAGGCUUUCGGGUUGUAAACUUCUUUUGUCAGGGAAGAGUAGAAGACGGUACCUGACGAAUAAGCCACGGCUAACUACGUGCCAGCAGCCGCGGUAAUACGGAGGAUGCGAGCGUUAUCCGGAUUUAUUGGGUUUAAAGGGUGCGCAGGCGGCACGGCAAGCCGGCGGUCAAAUCGCGGGGCUCAACCCCGCCCAGCCGUCGGAACUGCCGGGCUAGAGUGGGCGAGAAGUGCGCGGAAUGCGUGGUGUAGCGGUGAAAUGCAUAGAUAUCACGCAGAACUCCGAUUGCGAAGGCAGCGCACCGGCGCCCUACUGACGCUCAGGCACGAAAGCGUGGGUAUCGAACAGGAUUAGAUACCCCCGUA